rnacentral:rRNA from 1 species
UCCAGACUCCUACGGGAGGCAGCAGUGGGGAAUAUUGCACAAUGGGGGGAACCCUGAUGCAGCGACGCCGCGUGGGUGAAGGAGCACCUCGGUGCGUAAAGCCCUAUCGGCAGGGAAGAAAAGCGAACAGGUUCGCUUGGACGGUACCUGACUAAGAAGCCCCGGCUAACUACGUGCCAGCAGCCGCGGUAAUACGUAGGUGGCAAGCGUUGUCCGGAUUUACUGGGUGUAAAGGGCGUGUAGCCGGGUUGACAAGUCAGAUGUGAAAUCCUGCGGCUUAACCGCAGAACUGCAUUUGAAACUGUUGAUCUUGAGUACUGGAGAGGCAGACGGAAUUCCUAGUGUAGCGGUGAAAUGCGUAGAUAUUAGGAGGAACACCAGUGGCGAAGGCGGUCUGCUGGACAGCAACUGACGGUGAGGCGCGAAAGCGUGGGUAGCGAACGGGAUUAGAUACCCCAGUAC